UUUUUAGAUAUUUUAAUUUUUUACAACAAAAUUUCACAAUAAUAAUAAAUAAAUAAAAUCUUAAAUCAUAAUUUUUUACAGUAAGUUUUACAACAUUUCAAAUACACUAUUUCAAAUCAAUUUUUUUCUAAUUUAAACAACAAUACUAAACUAGUUCGCGUAGUAUUAUACAGUUGCUUUUUUAUUAAAAAAAUAAAAAUAAAAAUAAAAACAAAAACGCUUUCUUACGAGCUACAGCAGAGCCCUUGCCCUGGCCCUGGCCCUGGAGUCCAGGUAGGGCCACCUGGUGCUAAAAAGGCCGCAAAACACUUGCCUUCUCGAGUCUGCCAAAAGAAAAAAACAUCUGCUACCUCAAAUGUCACGAUAACCAGGCGUGCAGAUGCUGUAGCGUGCAUCAUCUUGAUCAAACCUAGAAAGAUCAGAACUGUAAAUGCAGGAAGUAGCUAGCUGCACGCACAGUAAUCAACGAAAUCUUACUUCAUUGGUUCUAUGAUGAUUGGGACGGCUGGUGAUUAGGGAUGUCAACGGAUCAGGGAAAUUUUCAGCACCUCUUUCUUUACAGCCUUAGUCAAUCAAAUAGGGGCUGGGGCGCUGUUCUUAAACAGAAGAAUGGUGAGAAAGAGAUUGAUUGUGGGGAAGCGAAGAGAGGCUCUUCCUCUAGUGAGGUGGUCUGAAGGAUAAAAACCUAAGAGUUUAGGUGGCUUGGGUCUUUGUUCUAUGAGGGGAAUGGCUAUCCGCCUCUCAUCCCAAUCCUUCCGGUUAAGCAUACAGAGCAAAAUUAAAAUCAGGUGAUCCGAUCCGAAAUUUUUUUCUUUUAAUAUUCGAAUCCAUAUUAUAUAAAUAAUAUACGAUCUCAAUUUGAUCCAAAAUUAAUAAAUAUUAUUU
rnacentral:lncRNA from 1 species